rnacentral:rRNA from 1 species
AAGCGCCUGCGACAUAGAAUAGAGAUAAAAGCAUUACAAAAGGCUCAUUCAUCGAAAAUCAAAAUCAUACAGACAGGAAAAGAAAAACGAAUUUCUAUCAAAUCAAUAGAAGAAAGGAUCCUUUCCCUGAUUUGAAUCCCGUCCUCCUUCAAAUAGGAUAUCUCUAGACUUCCCUAUAAUAACUGCAAUGAUUUUAUCCAUUUUGCGAAUUCCUACUUUGUUUUAAGUAUAUUUAUUACUUUGUUUAUAGAUACAUUAUGUAAAUUGAUCAACUUUAAAUAGAAAAAAUAAAGUAAAGAGUAAAUAAGAAAACAGAAUAUUCUGUCUCAUAGUUCUGAAAUAGAGUUCUUUAUUUUUAUUUUAUAGUAUUACUUCUCAUUAAUUCUACUGCAUAGAUUAGUCCUACUAUCUUAAUUAGGUUCUAAUUUAGUAGUAUUCUCAUUUUUAUUUAAUAGUCUCUUAUUAUUUUAUUAUUAAAUAUUAACUAAAGGAUAGAGCUAUUCUUUUUUCUAGAGAUUCUAGAGAAAGCGAGACAAAGUGAAACGAGAAAGUUUUCUUUAUAUAAGAAUUAGAUCUACAUACACCAUAUCUAAAUAGUAUGGAAAUCCAAAAGAAAGGGAGUUGGGAUUCCAUUGGAUGAAUCUUUAAAGAAGAUGCAGCACAGAGGAAACAAAGGCUAAACUAAGCGCUUUUGUUUGAACAAAAAAGAUUCUUGUUUCACCGAGGAAAAGAGAGAAGUUCUGGAUAAAUUGACAAUGCUGAAUUGAAUUGACUAAUUUAAGUUCCGCCUAUUCCACAUUAAUGGGAGUACAUUAUGUUUCUGCUUCACGAAUAUGAUAUUUUUUGGACAUUUCUAAUAAUAGCAAG